rnacentral:misc_RNA from 1 species
UCAAACUUGGUCAUUUAGAGGAAGUAAAAGUCGUAACAAGGUUUCCGUAGGUGAACCUGCGGAAGGAUCAUUACUGAAUAAAAAAAGUCAGUUAGGUUGUUGCUGGCUUCUAACAAAGGAGCAAGUGCACACCUAACCUGAUCUUUCAAACCCUCCUGUGCACCUGUGUAGACCUGAACUGUGUUCAUCCAAGCCAACAAAAUCACUUGGCUUUGUGUUGUGAGGAUUGCUGUGUGAUGAUAAGCCAGCUUUUCUUGUUUCUUUUCAGGUCUAUGUUAUUUUUUAUACCUGUACCCCAAUUGAAUGUGUCAGAACAUUUGUGCCUUUUAAAUGAAAUACAACUUUCAACAACGGAUCUCUUGGCUCUCGCAUCGAUGAAGAACGCAGC